rnacentral:rRNA from 1 species
CGUGAGGGAAAGGUGAAAAGAACCCCGGGAGGGGAGUGAAAUAGUACCUGAAACCUUGUGCUUACAAGCAGUUACAGCCCGUUAAAGGGUGGUAGCGUACUUUUUGUAGAACGGUCCGGCGAGUUAUAGUCACUAGCGAGCUUAAGACAUUCAGUGUUGGAGGCGUAGGGAAACCGAGUCUGAACAGGGCGAAUGAAGUUAGUGGCCAUAGACCCGAAACCAUGUGACCUAGCCAUGAGCAGGAUGAAGUGGAGGUAAAGCUCCAUGGAGGUCCGAACGCACGUUCGUUGCAAUGACCGGCGAUGACUUGUGGCUAGCGGUGAAAUUCCAAUCGAACUUGGAGAUAGCUGGUUCUCCCCGAAAUAGCUUUAGGGCUAGCGUUGGGAAUGAGUUUAGCGGAGGUAAAGCACUGAAUGAGCUAGGGGGCGCAAGCUUACUGAACUCUAUCAAACUAAGAAUGCCGCAUAAAUGCUUCCCAGCAGUCAGACUGCGAGUAAUAAAAUCCGUGGUCAAAAGGGUAACAGCCCAGACCCACAGCUAAGGUCCCCAAUACAUGCUAAGUGGAAAACGAUGUGAGAUUGCAUAAACAACCAGGAUGUUGGCUUAGAGGCAGCCACUCGUUCAAAGAGUGCGUAAUAGCUCACUGGUCGAGUGAUUUUGCGCGGAAAAUUUAACGGGGCUAAGCAUGUAACCGAAGCUUGGGAUUGCGCUUAUGCGCAGUGGUAGGGGAGCGUCGUGUACGGGGUGAAGUCGCACCGGAAGGAGCGGUGGACUGUACACGAGUGAGAAUGCCGGAAUGAGUAGCGAGAAUUAUGUGGGAAUCAUAAUGGCCGAAAAUCUAAGGUUUCUUGGGGAAGGUUCGUCCGCCCAAGGUAAGCCGGGAGCUAAGGCGAGGCCGCGAGGCGUAGUCGAUGCACAUACGGUAGAAAUUCCGUAGCCACCGAACUUUAAACCAGAAGGACACUUUCAGAUAGCGGGACCCAGCCGUUGGUAGAGCUGGGCGCAAGGGACCGAAAUAUAGUAGGGAAGUCCGCGAUGCUGGGAGGCGAGAAAAGCUCUGGUGAAUACUAAGGUGCCCGUACCGCAAACCGACACAGGUAGAUGAGGAGAGAAUCCUAAGGCCAACGGGAGAAGGGUUGUUAAGGAACUCGGCAAAUUGACCCCGUAACUUCGGAAGAAGGGGAGCCUCGAAAGAGGCCGCAGUGAAUAGGCCCAAGCAACUGUUUACCAAAAACACAGGUCUAUGCUAAAUCGAAAGAUGACGUAUAUGGGCUGACGCCUGCCCGGUGCCGGAAGGUUAAGAGGAGAGCUUAGCGCAAGCGAAGGUUUGAAUUGAAGCCCCGGUAAACGGCGGCCGUAACUAUAACGGUCCUAAGGUAGCGAAAUUCCUUGUCAGGUAAG